AAAUAAGACUUCGUUCCAUAGACGGAUCAAUUUUCAUAAAGAAAUCACAAAGCUCAUUUGCCAUUUUUAAGCCUUCACUAGGAUUUUUCAGAAUUAAAUAUCACAUUUCCAGUGCUUGCUGAAGCCUCUUCACAUGUCCUCCAAGUCGAUUUCAGUCAAAUCUUCAUCCUGCGAUUAAUGCAACUCCUGAAUGUCACUUGAUUCUAUCUGUUCGUACCCAUCUCGUCCUAUUCCAUUCGCAAUUUCGGCUAUAUUGGAAUUGUUUUUAUUAAUAUGCAUGUACUAUGUACCGAUUACAUCCGCGAAUAAAGAAAUCUUUAGCCGUGAAUAUGGGAAUUGGGUCACAAUUUUUUAAUACGCGAAUAGUGAAAACGCGGAUAAGGAGCUUUUACUGUACUUCGCGAAGAACAAAGAUUUAUUGUAAGAUAUUUUAUUAAUGUAAAAAACGUUCCAUGAUUAUUCAUGACAAUAAUUAAUUUUAUUCAUUCAUCUAUAAUAUUAUCAACACACUGAAGAUCAAUAUUUUAAUCAUCUUAGUUAAAUUAUAAUUUAUUUUUCAAUAUCACAUUAUUAUAAGUAUAACUAUCUUCAUGUAUGAAAUAUAUAAUUAGUAUUAAGUGUGUGAAAAACUAUGCCUAGAAAACAUAAAAGAGCAAGACUCGAAAUCUUAUUUCGCCGCUAGAUUUUUUUCUUACUAGAUGAUAUUUACCAAUUGGGGCUGAUAAGGGCAAUUUCUUAGUACAUUUAUAUAUCUAGAUGGACAAUGAAAGCUGUGAAAAUGUUGAAAAAAGUUAAGUUUAGAACUUACCUCUAUUUGGAGCAAUUUACACACCCUAAUACGAAGUGUUAUAUAAAUCGCGAGUGUAAGACGUAACGUGUCUCGCCAUAUUCCUGGCCUGUUUUUAUCGGUUGUCUAACGGCCGUUCCCAAUAUUCAGUCUAUCUCUUACUUGAGAUAAAAAUCGUAACUAUCCUUAACUUUUCUGUCCCACUAAACUUAUCGACGGUAACUCACCUUAUCCGUGCACGCUGUCAAUGGGACAGCUUACCAGCGAUAGAAGUUUGUAUGGAAAUUGCAAUUCACGCAUCCCAAUAUAAGGCGAUAAGAAUGACAUAACGGGUAUAUUGGGACAGCUUCAGAUUAUUGACAGCUAAUUACUGACAGUAGAAGGUAGUAAUUUAUAUCUAUCUGUAGAUAGUAUAUUGGGAACGGCAAUUAAAGCUUUGGACUAUAACUGUAUUAGACAUAACUAUGGAUAGAUAGGUGACAGCAAUGUAUCCGUAACUAGAGUACAUAGUUUCAUACAAGUAUAUUGAUCCUAUAAUUCUUAUUAAAUAAGAAACAAUCCAGUAGUUGUUAAUAAAUUGGGAUUUGGUUUAAAGCGAGAAUAAAAUAGAAUUAUAACUAAUUUUUUUGUAUGGAUAUGAAUAUUAGUAAUUUUAUUGUUAUUAUGACUAUAAAUUUUACUGGUUGUAAUAAUAUAAGUCACGAGAAUUGAAAAACGAAUGAUUCAUAAGUGUUAGCAGAUAGUUUGGACAUUAAAAUCUUCAAAACAAAAACAUAAUUUUUUUUAAAAUCUCACUUCUGGGAUUAAUUACACAAAUAAAACUUAUGAACCAUGCGGGACUCAAACCCGCGACCUCUCGCGUUCCAUGCGAGCGCUCUUCCAACCGAGCCAACUGUUCAAGUGACGUAUCGUUGAUAAAUCUUGUAUGCUUUAAUUUUUUGGUUUUUUAAUUUCUCUGGCAGUAAACGUUACGUUCUUAAAUAAGUUUUUUCUAUUUCACUAAUCGUAGUUUCAAUAUCAGUUUUAUCAACAAAGUACAAUAUUUCUUAACGUUUUCUCAUUUUGUAUUUAAAACGAUACAUUAAUAUUAAAUAACCUUUAUGUAAAUUUUCGGUCGCGAUAAUGUGCCGUGAAGCAGAUGUUAUACAAGUAUGGUAAUAAUAUUGUAUACAAGUAUUAGUUUACAAGUUUGUUCGACAUAAUAUAAAUAAACAUUAAAUAUAAUAUAA